rnacentral:rRNA from 1 species
UUGAUCCUGGCUCAGGACGAACGCUGGCGGCGUGCCUAAUACAUGCAAGUCGAGCGAGCUUGCCUAGAUGAUUUUAGUGCUUGCACUAAAUGAAACUAUUUACAAGCGAGCGGCGGACGGGUGAGUAACACGUGGGUAACCUGCCCAAGAGACUGGGAUAACACCUGGAAACAGAUGCUAAUACCGGAUAACAACACUAGACGCAUGUCUAGAGUUUGAAAGAUGGUUCUGCUAUCACUCUUGGAUGGACCUGCGGUGCAUUAGCUAGUUGGUAAGGUAACGGCUUACCAAGGCAAUGAUGCAUAGCCGAGUUGAGAGACUGAUCGGCCACAUUGGGACUGAGACACGGCCCAAACUCCUACGGGAGGCAGCAGUAGGGAAUCUUCCACAAUGGACGAAAGUCUGAUGGAGCAACGCCGCGUGAGUGAAGAAGGGUUUCGGCUCGUAAAGCUCUGUUGGUAGUGAAGAAAGAUAGAGGUAGUAACUGGCCUUUAUUUGACGGUAAUUACUUAGAAAGUCCCGGCUAACUACGUGCCAGCAGCCGCGGUAAUACGUAGGUGGCAAGCGUUGUCCGGAUUUAUUGGGCGUAAAGCGAGUGCAGGCGGUUCAAUAAGUCUGAUGUGAAAGCCUUCGGCUCAACCGGCGAAUUGCAUCAGAAACUGUUGAACUUGAGUGCAGAAGAGGAGAGUGGAACUCCAUGUGUAGCGGUGGAAUGCGUAGAUAUAUGGAAGAACACCAGUGGCGAAGGCGGCUCUCUGGUCUGCAACUGACGCUGAGGCUCGAAAGCAUGGGUAGCGAACAAGAUUAGAUACCCUGGUAGUCCAUGCCGUAAACG